UACGUAGGAGGCGAGCGUUGUCCGGAAUUACUGGGCGUAAAGCGCGCAUAGGCGGCGCGGUACGACCGCUGUGAAAGCCCCCGGCUCAACUGGGGAGGGUCAGUGGUAACGGCCGUGCUAAGAGUGCAGGAGAGGGAAGUGGAACUCCGGGAGUAGCGGUGAAAUGCGUAGAGACCCGGAGGAACACCAGUGGCGAAGGCGGCUUCCUGGUCUGCGACUGACGCUGAGGCGCGAAAGCUAGGGGAGCGAACGGG
rnacentral:rRNA from 1 species